CUGGAUUGAGAAAAGGAAACACUUUGGUGAAAUCACAACCUGUAAACAGACCUCAAAACAUAGUGUUCACUCAACUGAAGCUGAACGUUCUAUAGCCUGGGUUCAUUUGGCUUGAUUGCGCAUCACUUGUUUACUUGGAAAGGGACGUUUCCAUUUUCAUCCACCUGACUCCCGAGUUGGUUGCAAAGAUGGAAGAAAGGAACAGCCAUUUAUUCUCCUGGAGG
rnacentral:lncRNA from 1 species